AUAUAAAGAGUGGAUUUAGAUAGAGUCGAGGAUUAGAAUUAUUUAUAAAUAAAUAAUUACUAAUAUUCCUUGUACCGGGUGGUCAAUUAAGGACAGUAAUUGCCGUAAAAACUUGGGGUGAAAAAACUUAUAUCUAAAGCUGCAGCGGAGAAAAUUCUGGAUAUUAUUUUUAAGUUUCUGGAAUGACCGCUAGUGGGCGUAAUCGCAUUUUUUAAUUUUAAAUCCCAAUUUAGGCGAGGUUGCACAACGUCCUCUAGCGGUGAUAUAAGUAAUCGGAAUCAAUCCACUCAGGAAAACGUCGGUCGCCUAAGAAGAGCCCUUUUCAACGAUUCUAAGUUCCCUUAAGAGAGGUCUCAACCGCAGUAAACAACGACGUAUGAAACUUGUUCGGAGGGGGACAGAUGACGUCCCACUCGCGCAAGACUGGCGGAGAUAAAUCGUCUAUGGAACUAUCAUCUAGGGUUUACCGUCCUUGGAUGUCAACAAAGUUCUACAGACAGUAGCAACGACACAUUCACAUGAAUGUUUGGAGCUAAAGCCCGAUAGGUUAGGAACUGAAGUAUUGGUUACGUCACAAUAACUUUGCAGCUGCUGUGAUUGGUGGUGGGAACUUUCUGUAGAGGGAUCAUCAUGUCUUCCAUGCUUCCCGAAAAAUUCCACUGGCAGGCAGUCUUUGAGGUCUUGCAUAGUUAUGGGAUUCAACCGAUUUAUUUCUCCAUAAGUUGAAAUAUUAUCAGUGAUAUCAUUUACAGCCUGGGGACUCCGGAAUGUCACUUAACAUAUUUUUAACGCUAUCUAUAAAAUUCAUGAGU